AUUGAACGCUAGCGGGAUGCUUUACACAUGCAAGUCGAACGAGUGGCGGACGGGUGAGUAAUAUAUCGGAACGUGCCCAGUAGCGGGGGAUAACUACUCGAAAGAGUGGUUAAUACCGCAACCUAUUGGAACGGCAGAUAGCGGAUGAGAUUGGUGGGGGGGUAAAGGUUCACCAAGGCAACGAUCCGUAGCGGGUUUGAGGGGACGACCAGCCACACGUGGACGGAGACACGGCCCAGACUCCUACGGGAGGCAGCAGUGGGGAAUCUUGGACAAUGGGGGAAACCCUGAUCCAGCCAUCCCGCGUGUAUGAGAAGGCCUUCGGGUUGUAAAGUACUUUUGGCAGAGAAGCGGUAUCUGCAGAAUAAGCACCGGCUAACUACGUGCCAGCAGCCGCGGUAAUUC
rnacentral:rRNA from 1 species